AAAUUACUGUAAACCCUAAAGUCAUACAUGCCCAUUCCUGUUGGAGUUUAUAGACUAAUAAGCAAAACUGACACAUUACAUUAAGGUAACAAGUAUACAGUGUGAAAGGAGUGCAUUUAUAGUACUUUCUAAUUAAAUUACUGUAUAUUG